AGUGAACGCUGGCGGUAGGCCUAACACAUGCAAGUCGAACGGCAGCACAGUAAGAGCUUGCUCUUACGGGUGGCGAGUGGCGGACGGGUGAGGAAUACAUCGGAAUCUACUUUUUCGUGGGGGAUAACGUAGGGAAACUUACGCUAAUACCGCAUACGACCUACGGGUGAAAGCAGGGGAUCUUCGGACCUUGCGCGAUUGAAUGAGCCGAUGUCGGAUUAGCUAGUUGGCGGGGUAAAGGCCCACCAAGGCGACGAUCCGUAGCUGGUCUGAGAGGAUGAUCAGCCACACUGGAACUGAGACACGGUCCAGACUCCUACGGGAGGCGGCAGGGGGGAAUAUUGGACAAUGGGCGCAAGCCUGAUCCAGCCAUACCGCGUGGGUGAAGAAGGCCUUCGGGUUGUAAAGCCCUUUUGUUGGGAAAGAAAAGCAGCAGGUUAAUACCCCGCUGUUCUGACGGUACCCAAAGAAUAAGCACCGGCUAACUUCGU
rnacentral:rRNA from 1 species